GGCCUGUUAGUCAAGCGGUCAAGACGUCGCCCUCUCACGGCGAAGGCAGGGGUUCGAUUCCCCUACGGGUCACCA
rnacentral:tRNA from 1 species